CCUACGGGUGACAGCAGUGAGGAAUAUUGGUCAAUGGCCGGAAGGCUGAACCAGCCAUGCCGCGUGAAGGUCAGUGCCCUAUGGGCGUUACACUUCUUUUGUGCGGGAGCAAUAAUGGUCACGUGUGGCCAGACGAGAGUACCGUACGAAUAAGCCUCGGCUAACUCCGUACCAGCAGCCGCGGUAAUCCGGGGGAUGCACGCGUUAACCGGAUUUAUUGGGUUUAAAGGGUGCGUAGGCUGUGAGGUAAGUCAGCGGUGAAAUGCCACCGCUCAACGGGUUGAAGUGCCAUUGAUACUGCCGUGCUGGAAUGCGGAUGCCGGGGGAGGAAUGUGUGGUGUAGCGGUGAAAUGCAUAGAUAUCACACAGAACACCGAUUGCGAAGGCAUCUCACGAAUCCGCGAUUGACGCUGAUGCACGAAAGCGUGGGUAUCAAACAGGAUUAGAUACCCGUGUAGUC
rnacentral:rRNA from 1 species